GGAUAUGAGGGUGAUCUGGUUGUGACAUCUGUCACCCCACUGAUCACCGGGGUUGAUUAAGCUGAUCUGGCUGGCUAGGCAGGUGUCCUUUUCCCCUCUCAACAUUCCAUGUGCAUCCUUCCUGAAGCUGCAUCCUCUGUCAAAGAGGACAACCAUAUCUGAUAGAGGAGGACCAGUCUUCAGUUAAGGGUAUAUGCGUAGCUCCGUUUCCCAGCUAGAACCUUCAAACAAGCUCUCAGAAAAUAUCUGGAGUCAAAUGAUGAUGAAAAGACACUUACAAAAUCGAUGGGAUACAGCAGAAGCAGUUCAUAGUGAUACAGGAUUCAUCAGGAAAGAAGAAAAUCUAGAGAU
ensembl:misc_RNA 7SK 7SK RNA